CAGACAGAUGGAGACAUAUACGAUUGUAUUGACUUCUACAAACAGCCAGGAUUUAAUCAACCUUUUUGGAAGAAUACCACAUUUCAGAUGAAACGUAAAUUAUUUAUGGAAGCAAUGAAAACUAAUGAGAAUUGAUGAAGAUGGCUUGACAAGAGCCAAAAUGAAUUCAAAGAUCAUGUAUUUGACAGAACCAGGAUAUUAUUACGCAAUACUUCAAAGAAAACCUGAUCUAACUAGGAAGAUUGAGGGAAUUCAAGCAGUUCAUUU